rnacentral:rRNA from 1 species
UAGUCCACGCCGUAAACGAUGGAUACUAGGUGUCCGGGAUAUUAACCUCCUGGGUACUACAGUUAACGCGUUAAGUAUCCCGCCUGGGGAGUACGGUCGCAAGGCUAAAACUCAAAGGAAUUGACGGGGGCCCGCACAAGCGGUGGAGUAUGUGGUUUAAUUCGAAGCAACGCGCAGAACCUUACCUACCCUUAACAUUUCACGACGUAUACAGAGAUGUAUAUUUCUCUUCGGAGACGUGAGGAUAGGUGCUGCAUGGCUGUCGUCAGCUCGUGUCGUAAGAUGUCUGGUUAAGUCCAAUAACGAGCGCAACCCUUAUCCUUAGUUACCAGCAUUAAGUUGGGGACUCUAGGGAGACUGCCGGUGAUAAACCGGAGGAAGGUGGGGACGACGUCAAGUCCUCAUGGCCCUUAUGUCUGGGGCUACACACGUGCUACAAUGGCAUUUACAGAGGGCCGCGAAGCCGCAAGGUGGAGCAAAUCCCACAAAGGAUGCCUCAGUUCGGAUUGGAGUCUGCAACUCGACUCC